rnacentral:lncRNA from 1 species
UCAAAACCAAAACAACUAGUUGUGAAUUCGAGUUUUAAAACUUCAAUUCACAACCAACACUAACGAUUCAGUUGUGAACUCAUCGAGCUGAUUGUGAAUUCUAAUUUUAGUUGUGAAUUCAUAGAUUUGAUUGUGAAUUUAAGAACAUUAAGUUGUAAAUUCAUAAAUCUGGUUGUGAAUUCAAGAACAUUAAUUAAUUAUCCAAAAAUCUAUUUCUCUUUCAAUCGAAAAAACUCUCCAAUAAAAUUUAUAAAUCAUCACUCGAAGAAAAAAAACAAAAAAAAUAGAGAAAAUGAUGAAUUUAAUUGGAAAACAAAAACAAACAGUCUUUGGGCAAAAAAUGCAAUAGGAAGAAACUAACACCAUUAGCAAAGCUAGCUUCAACGCAUUUCCAUGUUCACAAUUUUUAUCUCAUAAAUAUCAAUGAGAGAGAGACUUUCUCUAGCACUUGAUCUAGGAAUGGUGAUUGAGGGUGAAC